AGGAGACAUUCAUAGUGGCCUUGUCAAACCACAAUAGCUAAUUUAAAGAAGUUGAAACCGCCAACAAUGAAAAUAGUGACAAUGCAAUGUCUAUCAGAUGAUGAUGAUAUCCCAGAAACUCCACUUAAUGAAGAUGAUGAUCAUGCCCCAGAAACUCCACCCAAUGAAGAUGCUGAUGUCGCACAUGACAGGAACAGAUUUGGCUAA
rnacentral:rRNA from 1 species